GACGAACGCUGGCGGCGUGCCUAAUACAUGCAAGUCGAACGAACCGCGACUAGGUGCUUGCACUUGGUCAAGGUGAGUGGCGAACGGGUGAGUAACACGUGGGUAACCUACCUCAUAGUGGGGGAUAACAGUCGGAAACGACUGCUAAUACCGCAUAGGACAUAGGAUCACAUAAUCCAGUGAGGAAAGGUGGCGCAAGCUAUCGCUAAGAGAUGGACCCGCGGUGCAUUCGCUAGUUGGUAGGGUAAAGGCCUACCAAGGCGAUGAUGCAUAGCCGACCUGAGAGGGUGAUCGGCCACAUUGGGACUGAGACACGGCCCAAACUCCUACGGGAGGCAGCGGUAGGGAAUCUUCCGCAAUGGACGCAAGUCUGACGGAGCAACGCCGCGUGAGUGAAGAAGGUCUUCGGAUCGUAAAGCUCUGUUGUUAGAGAAGAACAGCGCAUAGAGUAACUGCUAUGCGUGUGACG
rnacentral:rRNA from 1 species